rnacentral:rRNA from 1 species
GAUGAACGCUGGCGGCGUGCCUAAUACAUGCAAGUCGAGCGAACAGACGAGGAGCUUGCUCCUCUGACGUUAGCGGCGGACGGGUGAGUAACACGUGGAUAACCUACCUAUAAGACUGGGAUAACUUCGGGAAACCGGAGCUAAUACCGGAUAAUAUAUUGAACCGCAUGGUUCAAUAGUGAAAGACGGUUUUGCUGUCACUUAUAGAUGGAUCCGCGCCGCAUUAGCUAGUUGGUAUGGUAACGGCUUACCAAGGCAACGAUGCGUAGCCGACCUGAAGGGGUGAACCGCCAGACUGGAACUGAGACACGGCCCAGACUCCUACGCGGGGCAGCAGUAGGGAAUCUUCCGCAAUGGGCGAAUGCCUGACGGAGCAACGCCGCGUGAGUGAUGAAGGUCUUCGGAUCGUAAAACUCUGUUAUUAGGGAAGAACAAAUGUGUAAGUAACUAUGCACGUCUUGACGGUACCUAAUCAGAAAGCCACGGCUAACUACGUG